rnacentral:rRNA from 1 species
AUAGAACAUUAUGCCUGGAAUGGUUUAUGUUUCAAAUAAUUUAUUGCCGUAGGAUGGGACUGCGGCCUAUCAGUUUGUUGGUGAGGUAAUGGCCCACCAAGACUAUUACAGGUACGGGCUCUGAGAGGAGUAGCCCGGAGAUGGGUACUGAGACACGGACCCAGGCCCUAUGGGGCGCAGCAGGCGAGAAAACUUUGCAAUGUGCGAAAGCACGACAAGGUUAAUCCGAGUGGUUUCUGCUAAAGGAACCUUUUGUCAGUCCUAGAAACACUGAUGAAUAAGGGGUGGGCAAGUUCUGGUGUCAGCCGCCGCGGUAAAACCAGCACCUCAAGUGGUCAGGAUGAUUAUUGGGCCUAAAGCAUCCGUAGCCUGCUUUGUAAGUUUUCGGUUAAAUCCAUACGCUCAACGUAUGGGCUGCCGGGAAUACUGCAAAGCUAGGGAGUGGGAGAGGUAGACGGUACUCGGUAGGAAGGGGUAAAAUCCUUUGAUCUAUUGAUGACCACCUGUGGCGAAGGCGGUCUACCAGAACACGUCCGACGGUGAGGGAUGAAAGCUGGGGGAGCAAACCGGAUUAGAUACCCGGGUAGUCCCAGCUGUAAACUAUGCAAACUCAGUGAUGCAUUGGCUUGAUGCCAAUGCAGUGCUGCAGGGAAGCCGUUAAGUUUGCCGC